rnacentral:tRNA from 2 species
GGGACUGUAGCUCAGCUGGAUUCAGAGCAAGCGAUUUCUAAUCGCUCGGCCGGCGGUUCGAGUCCGUCCAGUCCCG